rnacentral:lncRNA from 1 species
AGAAUCUGUAACCCGGCGCCUGCCACGCGGGAAGUGUGCAAUAAACAGCUAGUCUCACUCGCGCCCCUUCCCUUUCUCUCUCCCGAUUACUUUCUCGAACCCUUGGUGGAGCUGCCCCACAGAAGCGGGCACCCGGACAACCCUUGCCACCUGCGUGAGGCUUGAUGAUGCGGAAGCACACUCUUGGCAGAACUUCCCCUCUGGCCAGAACCCGCUGCAUGAACAAAGCUCAGGGUCGCCCACUGCCUGCCUCGUUUUCGGCACACAGGAUACCGUUACAUUUCAUCUCGGGACGAUUGUUCUCUGAGCAAAGUGUGUUAUUUUCCUGGAGGUAAUCCCUUACCAGAUUGUGGAUUCUCCGUGUUCAACAUCAGCCACUACAACCAAAAAGCAACGAACUGUGUUAUUGACAAUGUUUUAAUUACAAGACGUAAAAGAUACAAGACAGCAAAAACAAGAAAGUGAUCUGCCUAGGAGUGGCAUUGGUGUAUUUAAGAAAACUCACAGGGGCCGCGGCUCCGGUAGGAAACACACUACAUUUUUUUUCCCCCCUUAAUGCUAAAAAUUCUAAUAGCAAAUGUGAGAUUGCUUUGAAAGAAAUAAGAGCAUUAACAGAAACGAUUGUCCCUGGCAGCGCAAUAAAUGAAAUUAGAAGCUCUUAACA